AACGAACGCUGGCGGCAGGCUUAACACAUGCAAGUCGAACGCAUCCUUCGGGGUGAGUGGCAGACGGGUGAGUAACGCGCGGGAACGUGCCCUUCAGUCGGGAUAACCCAGGAAAACUUGGGCUAAUACCGGAUACGUGCGAGAGCAGAAAGAUUUAUCGCUGAAGGAUCGGCCCGCGUCUGAUUAGCUAGUUGGUGGGGUAAUGGCCCACCAAGGCGACGAUCAGUAGCUGGUCUGAGAGGAUGAUCAGCCACAUUGGGACUGAGACACGGCCCAAACUCCUACGGGAGGCAGCAGUGGGGAAUAUUGGACAAUGGGCGCAAGCCUGAUCCGGCCAUGCCGCGUGAGUGAUGAAGGCCUUAGGGUUGUAAAGCUCUUUCGUCCGGGACGAUAAUGACGGUACCGGAAGAAGAAGCCCCGGCUAACUACGAGCCAGCCGCCGCCGUAACAC
rnacentral:rRNA from 1 species